rnacentral:rRNA from 1 species
CCUACGGGAGGCAGCAGUGAGGAAUAUUGGUCAAUGGGCGAGAGCCUGAACCAGCCAAGUAGCGUGAAGGAUGACUGCCCUCCGGGUUGUAAACUUCUUUUAUAAAGGAAUAAAGUGAGGCACGUGUGCCUUUUUGUAUGUACUUUAUGAAUAAGGAUCGGCUAAAUCCGUGACAGCAGCCGCGGUACUACGGAGGAUCCGAGCGGUACCCGGAUUUAUUGGGUUUAAAGGGAGCGUAGAUGGGUUGUUAAGUCAGUUGUGAAAGUUUGCGGCUCAACCGUAAAAUUGCAAUUGAUACUGGCAGCCUUGAGUACAGUUGAGGUAGGCGGAAUUCGUGGUGUAGCGGUGAAAUGCGUAGAUAUCACGAAGAACUCCGAUGGCGAAGGCAGCCUACUAAACUGACACUGACAUUGAUGCUCGAAAGUGUGGGGAGCAAACAGGAUUAGAUACCCGAGUAGUC